rnacentral:tRNA from 1 species
GGCCGGAACUGGCCGGAACGACCAGACCUGGACUCGUGGUCGGCCGGCCGUGAGUUCGAUUCUCAUCCGGCCCA